CGUUACAACACACACUCUAGCCUCUGCGUCUACGUCCCUGGAUAUGAUGCUUUGGCCGUGGCAAUUGCCACCAGGGUGCAGGAAGAAAUGACUGCAUCUCCCGUAUUUGGAAAGGUGUACAUGGCCUCACAGC
rfam:Escherichia vulneris NBRC 102420 DNA, contig: EV10242013.